GCUUUAUUCUAAACUUUGGAAGCCCUCGCUAGAGUACUACAAGCCACAGCUUAAAACUCAAAGGACUUGGUGGUGCUCUACACCCACCUAGAGGAGCCUGUUCUAUAAUCGAUACCCCCCGAUAAACCUCACCUCUUUUUGCUAAUUCAGCCUAUAUACCACCGCCCCCAGCUCACCUCUUAAGAGAAUAACAGUAAGCAAAAUAAUUUUAAAUAAAAAAGUCAGGUCAAGGUGUAGCACAUAAAAAGGAAAGAAAUGGGCUACAUUUUUUAUUUUUAAAAAAUACGGAAUAUUUUAUGAAAUAAAAUACAAAGGAGGAUUUAGAAGUAAAAAGAAAAGAGAGAGUUCUUUUUAAGCCGGCAAUAGAGUGCGC
rnacentral:rRNA from 1 species